rnacentral:rRNA from 1 species
UACGUAGGGGGCAAGCGUUGUCCGGAAUCAUUGGGCGUAAAGAGCGUGUAGGCGGCUAGGUAAGUCUGCUCUGAAAGCCCGGGGCUCAACCCCGGGAGGCGGGUGGAUACUGUCUAGCUCGAGUCCGGAAGAGGAGUGUGGAAUUCCUGGUGUAGCGGUGAAAUUCGUAGAUAUUCGCAAGAACACCAGUGGCGAAGGCGGCUCACUGGCCCGGUACUGACGCUGAGGUGCGAAAGCGUGGGGAGCAAACAGG